rnacentral:rRNA from 1 species
GAUGAACGCUAGCGGCAGGCCUAAUACAUGCAAGUCGAACGAGAUUAAGAGGCUUGCUUCUUAUGAAAGUGGCGCACGGGUGCGUAACGCGUAUGCAACCUACCUUAAUCAGGGUGAUAGCCCGAAGAAAUUCGGAUUAAGACCGCAUAAAAACACAGGAUAGCAUUAUCCAAUGUUCAAAUAUUUAUAGGAUUAAGAUGGGCAUGCGUGUCAUUAGCUAGUUGGCGGGGUAACGGCCCACCAAGGCGACGAUGUCUAGGGGAUCUGAGAGGAUGACCCCCCACACUGGUACUGAGACACGGACCAGACUCCUACGGGAGGCAGCAGUAAGGAAUAUUGGUCAAUGGAGGGAACUCUGAACCAGCCAUGCCGCGUGCAGGAAGACAGCCCUCUGGGUCGUAAACUGCUUUUAUUCGGGAAUAAACCUUUCUACGUGUAGGAAGCUGAAUGUACCGAAGGAAUAAGGAUCGGCUAACUCCGUG